rnacentral:rRNA from 1 species
GGAUGAACGCUGGCGGCGUGCCUAAUACAUGCAAGUCGAGCGAACGGACGAGAAGCUUGCUUCUCUGAUGUUAGCGGCGGACGGGUGAGUAACACGUGGAUAACCUACCUAUAAGACUGGGAUAACUUCGGGAAACCGGAGCUAAUACCGGAUAAUAUUUUGAACCGCAUGGUUCAAAAGUGAAAGACGGUCUUGCUGUCACUUAUAGAUGGAUCCGCGCUGCAUUAGCUAGUUGGUAAGGUAACGGCUUACCAAGGCAACGAUGCAUAGCCGACCUGAGAGGGUGAUCGGCCACACUGGAACUGAGACACGGUCCAGACUCCUACGGGAGGCAGCAGUAGGGAAUCUUCCGCAAUGGGCGAAAGCCUGACGGAGCAACGCCGCGUGAGUGAUGAAGGUCUUCGGAUCGUAAAACUCUGUUAUUAGGGAAGAACAUAUGUGUAAGUAACUGUGCACAUCUUGACGGUACCUAAUCAGAAAGCCACGGCUAACUACGUGCCAGCAGCCGCGGUAAUACGUAGGUGGCAAGCGUUAUCCGGAAUUAUUGGGCGUAAAGCGCGCGUAGGCGGUUUUUUAAGUCUGAUGUGAAAGCCCACGGCUCAACCGUGGAGGGUCAUUGGAAACUGGAAAACUUGAGUGCAGAAGAGGAAAGUGGAAUUCCAUGUGUAGCGGUGAAAUGCGCAGAGAUAUGGAGGAACACCAGUGGCGAAGGCGACUUUCUGGUCUGUAACUGACGCUGAUGUGCGAAAGCGUGGGGAUCAAACAGGAUUAGAUACCCUGGUAGUCCACGCCGUAAACGAUGAGUGCUAAGUGUUAGGGGGUUUCCGCCCCUUAGUGCUGCAGCUAACGCAUUAAGCACUCCGCCUGGGGAGUACGACCGCAAGGUUGAAACUCAAAGGAAUUGACGGGGACCCGCACAAGCGGUGGAGCAUGUGGUUUAAUUCGAAGCAACGCGAAGAACCUUACCAAAUCUUGACAUCCUUUGACAACUCUAGAGAUAGAGCCUUCCCCUUCGGGGGACAAAGUGACAGGUGGUGCAUGGUUGUCGUCAGCUCGUGUCGUGAGAUGUUGGGUUAAGUCCCGCAACGAGCGCAACCCUUAAGCUUAGUUGCCAUCAUUAAGUUGGGCACUCUAAGUUGACUGCCGGUGACAAACCGGAGGAAGGUGGGGAUGACGUCAAAUCAUCAUGCCCCUUAUGAUUUGGGCUACACACGUGCUACAAUGGACAAUACAAAGGGCAGCGAAACCGCGAGGUCAAGCAAAUCCCAUAAAGUUGUUCUCAGUUCGGAUUGUAGUCUGCAACUCGACUACAUGAAGCUGGAAUCGCUAGUAAUCGUAGAUCAGCAUGCUACGGUGAAUACGUUCCCGGGUCUUGUACACACCGCCCGUCACACCACGAGAGUUUGUAACACCCGAAGCCGGUGGAGUAACCUUUUAGGAGCUAGCCGUCGAAGGUGGGACAAAUGAUUGGGGUGAAGUCGAACAAGGUAACC